GACGAACGCUGGCGGCGUGCUUAACACAUGAAAGUCGAACGGAAAGGCCCUGCUUUUGUGGGGUGCUCGAGUGGCGAACGGGUGAGUAACACGUGAGAACCUGCCCUUGACUUUGGGAUAACUUCAGGAAACUGGGGCUAAUACCGGAUAGGAGCUCCUGCUGCAUGGUGGGGGUUGGAAAGUUUCGGCGGUUGGGGAUGGACUCGCGGCUUAUCAGCUUGUUGGUGGGGUAGUGGCUUACCAAGGCUUUGACGGGUAGCCGGCCUGAGAGGGUGACCGGCCACAUUGGGACUGAGAUACGGCCCAGACUCCUACGGGAGGCAGCAGUGGGGAAUAUUGCACAAUGGGCGGAAGCCUGAUGCAGCAACGCCGCGUGCGGGAUGACGGCCUUCGGGUUAUAAACCGCUUUCGCCUGUGACGAAGCGUGAGUGACGGUAAUGGGUAAAGAAGCACCGGCUAACUACGUG
rnacentral:rRNA from 1 species